AUGUGGUAUGGAGGAACAAUUUCAUCUAGAUUCAUACAAUAUAGAAAACUCUCAUGCUGCCAAGCAAUUUGGGUCGCUAUCUCCAGUCCUGGAUGCCAAAGAACACAAAGAAAUAAAAGAGAUAGAGAGCGGUAUGCACGAAUGACCAAUGAAGAAAAACAGGAGAAGCUGAAAAAGCGACGUCGGGCCUAUCAGCGAAACAAAACAAAUAAAGAUUCAACUCAGUUGAAAAAAAUUGCACCCAAGGGAGGAAGAAAUAUGCAAAUAUGGAGCUGGCACAAAAAACAAAAAAUGUGCAAGAGAAAGGCAGAAAUACGCAAAUAUGCAGCCAGAGCAAAAGAAAGCUAG
rnacentral:rRNA from 1 species